rnacentral:rRNA from 1 species
CUUGCUGUAAACGAUGUAUACUUGGUGUAACUGGACUCAACCCUAGUUGUGCCGGAGCUAACGCGUUAAGUAUACCGCCUGGGGANGCAACGCGAAGAACCUUACCCAGGCUUGACAUGCAGUAGACCGGUCCAGAAAUGGGCCUUUCCUUCGGGACUGCUGCACAGGUGC